AGCGAACGCUGGCGGCAGGCCUAACACAUGCAAGUCGAACGAACUCUUCGGAGUUAGUGGCGGACGGGUGAGUAACACGUGGGAACGUGCCUUUUGGUUCGGAAUAACUCAGGGAAACUUGUGCUAAUACCGAAUGGGCCCUUCGGGGGAAAGAUUUAUCGCCAUUAGAGCGGCCCGCGUCGGAUUAGCUAGUUGGUGAGGUAACGGAUCACCAAGGCGACGAUCAGUAGCUGGUCUGAGAGGAUGACCAGCCACACUGGGACUGAGACACGGCCCAGACUCCUACGGGAGGCAGCAGUGGGGAAUCUUGCGCAAUGGGCGAAAGCCUGACGCAGCCAUGCCGCGUGAAUGAUGAAGGUCUUAGGAUUGUAAAAUUCUUUCACCGGGGACGAUAAUGACGGUACCCGGAGAAGAAGCCCCGGCUAACUUCGUG
rnacentral:rRNA from 1 species